rnacentral:rRNA from 1 species
GACGAGGGGUCCUAGCGUUGUUCGGAAUUACUGGGCGUAAAGCGCGCGUAGGCGGACCUGCAAGUCGGGGGUGAAAGCCCGAGGCUCAACCUCGGAACUGCCUUCGAUACUGCGGGUCUCGAGUCCGGGAGAGGUGAGUGGAAUUCCUAGUGUAGAGGUGAAAUUCGUAGAUAUUAGGAAGAACACCAGUGGCGAAGGCGGCUCACUGGCCCGGUACUGACGCUGAGGCGCGAAGGCGUGGGGAGCGAACGGG